AAGUCGUAACAAGGUUUCCAACGUUAAACCCCCCUGUGAACUUUUAUACUUGCUCUCGUGGCUACCGGAAUUGCAAUCCCUGAUAAAUCAUUGUUGAACAGAUUUUGAUUCGGGACCUCAGUUUGGUAGUUUCGAUCGAGCGAUCGUUGCAAGUGGCCUGGUUUCCCCAAGCAGUCAGUGUCUGAAAGUGUCACCAGAGGCCGAACACCGGCCGGUGACCAGGUCGCCGUGGCUUCGGCCCCCUAUAUUCACCCCACUACCAACUUUCGCCUCGUAGGAAACUGCUGGGCAACAAAACGAACAAUAACAAUGGAUAUCUUGGUUCUC
rnacentral:misc_RNA from 1 species